GCAAAUAAUAUCGACCCUUUCAACAAUGUUUUCAUAGCCUUUUUUAUUAAGCUGUUGUGACAUUGCCUAGUAGUUCAUUUUGUACUAUUGGUUCUUUACUUAAAGAUAUUGUACUUAUAGACCACCUACAACAGUCUUAUCUAAAACAGGGAGAUUAUCAAGAAAAAGUCAAAAGAAGUCCAAUGUGUGAAUUUUUUGUUUGUUUUUUCCUUGUACAGGAAUUCAUGAUUCUUCAGUGGAGCUGACAUGGGUUUCUGAGGCUCUGAAACAGGACAACCAACCACACAGACAACUGGCAUUCAUGUCAUUCCUUUGAAGCAUCGUCAGUGACAAGCAUUUAGCUGAGGUGCUUAUGUCAAGAUUCAAGCUGUUAAAAGUCAAUGUCAAUCACCAAAAGAUAAAAUCUUAAAAAUCAAUUUAUGAAGGAGCUGGAUUAUUCUAAAGCUAAGCAAGACCAAAGUCCUACUGGUUGUCAUUGGAAAGCACUCUGACGGACCAGCAGUCUCCGUGAGCAGAAGGCACAGAGCCACGUUCGCCGGUUUGGCCGGGACCUCAGGACUGUGGACUCCUUGGGGCUCAUGGGAUACUUCUGAAGUGUCUGCAAAAGUACAUCAUAAUCAGGCAUGUCAAGUGGGGUCAGGCUGGAAUACACAGCUGGAGGAACAGGAAGAAGAAAUUUGUGAGAGCAAGUGCACGGGAAGAAAGCAGGGCUGCUAUGAAAGGACACAAAAGAGGACUUGGAGACUGUGUGAAGAAUGUGUUAGAAAUGGACUGGAGUUCCGUGAGCCUCAAAGCAGCAAGAAGAGAAAAGAGCUGCAGGCUCCAUACAGUGAGAUGUCAAGGAGACGGGUGCAAGAUCAACAUGCCAUAGAACCAAAUUUCCAGCAAAAGCACAGUGUCUCCGUACGUGUCCACAGGCCAGGGGCGUAACAAGAUUGAUGCUCAGCCAAGGGGUGGGUACCAAGAGGUACAUGGGGUGCCUGACACCCGUCUGCCUGCUCCCUGUGGAGAUCUAGCAUCUCUGCUACUCCGGGUCUGUCAUUUUGCACAGCAUAAGGGGCAACGGAGAGACUUUGCUGGAUUUCUCUCUUUUAGAGGACGUUUGGAAGGAUCUAAUAUUUCCUUGUGCGGGAUAAACUCGUCCUGACGUCCCUUCCCGCUGCCCUGUGCCAUCCCCGGCCCUGUCCCUGCCCUGCCGCUUCCCUCUCCCCUCAGGCGGGCCCUCGCCCUCAGCCCCGGCUUCCCCGGCGGCACCGGGCCCUCACGGCGCCCUCUGCCCCCGGUCCCUGCGGCUCCUCAGCCGCCCGCCAUGCCGGCCCAGGACCCCGGCCGCAUCCCCUCACCCUCCCCGCGGCUCUGCGUCGCCUCCCCCUUCCCUCCGCUCUCCUCCUCCCCUCAGGCAGCCGCACGCACCGCACUCUCCCUCACUCUCACACGCACACACACACACACGCACACCCGCACAGGCGAUGCAGCUUUAAAGGGACCA
rnacentral:lncRNA from 1 species